UACGAAGGGGGCUAGCGUUGCUCGGAAUCACUGGGCGUAAAGGGUGCGUAGGCGGGUCUUUAAGUCAGGGGUGAAAUCCUGGAGCUCAACUCCAGAACUGCCUUUGAUACUGGGAAUCUCGAGUCCGGGAGAGGUGAGUGGAACUGCGAGUGUAGAGGUGAAAUUCGUAGAUAUUCGCAAGAACACCAGUGGCGAAGGCGGCUCACUGGCCCGGUACUGACGCUGAGGUGCGAAAGCCAGGGGAGCAAAGCGGG
rnacentral:rRNA from 1 species